rnacentral:rRNA from 1 species
AGUGAACGCUGGCGGUAGGCCUAACACAUGCAAGUCGAACGGCAGCACAGGAGAGCUUGCUCUCUGGGUGGCGAGUGGCGGACGGGUGAGGAAUACAUCGGAAUCUACUCUGUCGUGGGGGAUAACGUAGGGAAACUUACGCUAAUACCGCAUACGACCUAUGGGUGAAAGCAGGGGGCCUUCGGGCCUUGCGCGAUUGAAUGAGCCGAUGUCGGAUUAGCUAGUUGGCGGGGUAAAGGCCCACCAAGGCGACGAUCCGUAGCUGGUCUGAGAGGAUGAUCAGCCACACUGGAACUGAGACACGGUCCAGACUCCUACGGGAGGCAGCAGUGGGGAAUAUUGGACAAUGGGCGCAAGCCUGAUCCAGCCAUACCGCGUGGGUGAAGAAGGCCUUCGGGUUGUAAAGCCCUUUUGUUGGGAAAGAAAUCCAGCUGGCUAAUACCCGGUUGGGAUGACGGUACCCAAAGAAUAAGCACCGGCUAACUUCGUGCCAGCCGCCGCCGUAA